AUGCCGGAGAUAUGAACAAUCCCUCUGUGAUUGGCCCACUCAAAUGUGAACAUGCCCAGCGGGAAAAUGAGUUCGGCUUGUUAAUCAUUUUUGGAAUUUUUUUUUGUUGGUGACAUUGUUAAUGAGGUUGUACUGUUUCUCUACUCGUGCCUCUCAGAGAUACCUAGUCAGGGUCUGAUGAGGCUGUAAGAUGAAUCCAUUUCCUUCUUUUUCCCCCCUACUGCUAACCCAGGGCAAGGAGGCUCUUUGUCACGUUUUGGUGUCAUCCCCAUUUCUUCAGGCCACUCUCAGGAGUGCAGCAGCUUUCAGGCCACCUUGGCUUUUUGGGAUGGAUUUCUAAGACCAGGAGGCUUGGGGAAUGAACUCACAUUAUGUCCAAAUAGCUGGAUCUAGUCCUGAUUAUCAAUACACUACAGUUAUUUGUGUGUGUGUGUGUGUGUAUGUGUGUGUGUGCGUGCGCGCGCGUGUGCUAUGCAAAGCAAUAAAAAUGAUUUCAAACACUCUUUUAAUUGGCUUUGUUCACAUAAUUAUUAAAUUAAGACUGCCACGAGUGUUUCUUCAUCUGGAAUGAUAAUUUCAAAGCUGGCAUUUUACAAGCAAUUUCAGAAGAGUGGAGUUUUUAAACUCAAUUUUGUUAAAUGGAUUACUUUUUUUUUCUUACUGUAGGAUAUAGUGAAACUGAACUGAAUAAAUAAAGUCAAAAUGAACUCAUAAGAUGUGCAAACUGUUGGAUAUCUUAGGAGGAUUGAGUUGAAUUUUAAAGAUAGGCUGAGGGAGUUCAUACAUUCCCAGGCACCAACUGUAACACUAGCCAGUGGUUAGAAAAAUAGUAUUGACAUUUCAAGGAUCUUCACUCACACUUCAGUAUGCCCCUGAGCACUGUUGGAACGAAACUCUUCUUUCUUUUAUAAGUUAAUGGUCCUCGAAAGUAGGUCUGAUGAUGCAAAUGCUGCAUGGAUUUUUAAUUCCAAGAAAGGCUUCUUUCCCACGCACCAAGAGCAAUCAGACACAGAUCCCAAACAACAUGAAACAUCAAGUUUGUCUGUUUGGAUGUUUAUUGCGGCAUUUCAAAAGUACUACAGAAUGUAGAGUUCUAUAGUUUAGUUUAUAUCGUAAUAUUUCCUCCGUUGAUAGCACAAUAAUUAUAAAAACAAAUAGUUUAAAUUUAUAGACAAGAAAAAAAACUAUGGUCAAUUUAAAUGCCCAUUUAACAGGAGCCUACCUCUGACGAAAGUUAAUGAGGUGAGCAAGGUCUGUCUUCCAUUAUCGCUGAUAUGAGCAGAGUUUUGACCUCCAAGGUCCCCAGAAACCUGAGAUAAAACGGUGUUCUUCGAGUAUGCAAGAUAAAAGAGAACAGUUUAUGUUUCCCAAUUCAUCUUCUGUGACCUGUCGGAAGUGGUCAACUCAGGAUUAUUAAGGACUCAUUUUAAUCUUGAUUUCAAUGUCUUCUCCCAGAUGCCUCUGCCGCAGAAAGCAGAAGUAGCAAAGAUUCCUGAUAGGAUUUGCAAUUUGAAUCUCAUUCCCUCUCUCUUCACAUCCAGAUUAAGGACUAAAUCUAGAGGUCCUUGGAAUUACUGCUCAACACUUUGCCUCUCCCAGUGUCCUUUUGACAUGAAAAGAAAUGGAAUUGAACACCAACUAGCAGACCGCUGCUCUCCAGGCUUAGGUUGACUCAACAAUCCCAGGCUUCUGCUUGGAAAUCAGUUGUUUGUAACAUCGAGCCCACUGCGUGUGAUUUCAUUAAGGAUAACGUUUCCUAUUUUUAUCUCUAGACGUCUAUGCGGCUCUCCUUUUGGCAACACCCAAAAUGCUGGCGUCUUUGUUGAAGGCCUGCGUAAUUAGUGUUGCUGACUGCAGCAGUGUCGACAGCUCUACGGUCACUGGGACCCUCCUUUGAAAGACCUCCAGGUAGUCCUUGGCAAUCCGGCACAGAGGCCUGGAAGCUUUGUCCUUUUUCUCCAAGGAAGAUUCUGCAGCAAGGUGUUUGCAUUUAUGUUCUAGCUUGUGCAAAAGGCCAGGGAAUCGGCCCCUUCACUGUGCUUCCCCACGUCUGUUCUGGAGACGACCCAGGUGCUAUGUGUUUACUCUAAAGCAGAACACCACCCGGAGGCCCCCUUUAGUCAGAGAUCUCCCACCUGGAGCAGCUCCUUCAGGCCGUACUACAGCCCUGGCAUUGCACACUGAAGACGGCCCUUACAGUCUUGAAGCUCGGGUUGAGGAUCUGUCUCUCGGCGUCCUGGCACCUGCUGCCUCUGUACUGGCUAUUUGCUGCCGGCGAUGAGCUCCUAUCCCACUGUGGGCCUAAACAAACGCUUUCAUUCCGUGGUUUGCUUUGGUUGUGGCAUUUUUGUCACAGCCGCAGAGAAGUAUCUGAGAGGGAAUAUGAGCUCCCCACACCAAAGUCCUGCAGGGACACGGUAGAGGAAUGACGCCGGCCCACUAAGCCUCCUGGAUACUUCUCUUCUCAUCAACAAAGGCAAGGAAGAAACGCUGUCAUAGGCUGCUGCUACUGUUAAAUGUGUGGCUGGAUGAAGUGCCUACUGUGGUGCGUAGCCUGUGGCAAAUAUUUGGGAAUAUGCUGAUGCCAUUGCCAGCUGUGGAGGAGAACACUCAGAGUGAGAUGCCAUGGCCAACUCUAAUCUAUUCAUCACCGGAACACUCAACAGGUCAAGAAUGAUUCUUUUCCUCAACUGCAAGUAGUACUGGACAUUAUUUCUUGGCUACGGAUUAUUUAUAAUACAUCCUGACCCAUGGAAAAGAAGUACUAAUUAAAGUUGUGCCAGCGUGAGUCUGUAGCCAGCCAGGCUGAAUAUGACCCUGCUCAUCGCAGAAAUGGGAAGAAGCUAGAAGUCUCACACCAUGGGGAUUUCCUUUACGAAACAGUAUGGCCUGGUUUCAAACGCAGGUUGUGAAGCUUUGGGACAAGUGCGUUCGUUCCUGGAACCAUCUCCCUGAACCUUGUGUGCUGGAUUUUAGCAUUCACUAUGAAGUAUUAACUGACUAGAAACUUGUCCUGGCUGUGUUAUAUGGAGCCGAGACCUUGUGAAUUAGUUACAUUGGUGCAAAGUCAGCAGCUUUACUGUCAAAGGGAGAGAGACACACAUUUGUGCUGUGUACCAUCCUUGCCAUCUGAGGCUCCAUCCCAUCUGGGGACCAAGAAAGCCAUUCAUUGCCAGAAGUGGAUCCUUGCCCUUAGCCCUCCAGAACUGUUAGCCAACACCAACUCUCUAUAUAGUGCCUCAGGUAAAUUGACUGGGUCUUAUUGAAACAAAGCCAUUCUAGCCACAAAAAGAGUCUAAAGAACAAGGAGCCAAUGACUAUGAAUGGGAUCCACAGCUGCCUCUGUCAAUCAAGGUUUGUCUUUAUGAUGGGCAACUGAGGAGGAGCCUCAGAAAACCAAGAUGGCCUCAUACCUGCUCUGACAGAGCAACAGGAACAGCACAUUUGAUCCCAGCCUCGUGGACAUAAGGCAGUUUCAGAGGAUGGUGAAAAUUAACCACCUUAGAAGCAGGAAUCAUCUCCCUUUGAUCUUCUUAAAUGUUGUUGUGCACAGAGAAGCUUUCCUCUUUGACACCAUACAUUCCAAGACUGCACUGGAAGAUUCUUGGGGAGCUGCUGUCUGUUGUUAAGACCCUCCUCUUAGCAAUGCUGACUGUCUGUACAUCCUCACAUAGCAGUGGACUCCUCAUCAAAUAACAUUGGACAUCCAUG